rnacentral:rRNA from 1 species
UACGUAGGGUGCAAGCGUUGUCCGGAAUUAUUGGGCGUAAAGAGCUCGUAGGCGGUUUGUCGCGUCUGCUGUGAAAAUCCAGGGCUUAACCCUGGACCUGCAGUGGGUACGGGCAGACUAGAGUGCGGUAGGGGAGAUCGGAAUUCCUGGUGUAGCGGUGAAAUGCGCAGAUAUCAGGAGGAACACCGGUGGCGAAGGCGGAUCUCUGGGCCGUAACUGACGCUGAGGAGCGAAAGCAUGGGGAGCGAACAG